CCUGAAAAAGAUAAAAAGGCCCGGUUAUUAUGAACUUGAGAAAAGCUCCCUUCCUUUCUAAGGGCGUGGGAGGAAUGUCAAAUAAUGUAAGGUUUUGCUUGCUGCUGAUAUGCCGCUUUACCUGUCCAAAGAUCUGGAUGUUUGCUUGAGGAUAAUACCACAAAUUAAACCAUCUGAAAAUUGUUGCCUUGUCAAUGUUCCAAAAAAUAUUCGGGAUCUCAGCAAAUGGGCAGGCAAGACCUACAACACAGGCUAAUGCAAACCCCAGUCUUGUUCUAUCGAGCAAAAACCAUAUGAGUUCUGCUCCUGCAAACAAGACAUAGGCUUCAACGUUGUCUGGCACUCCAACUUUGUACAUUUCAGCGCUCAAUUCAGUAAAUAACACCACUGCUCUGUGUAACAUUAGAAACAUUUAAUAAAAUAGGAUGUUGUUACACUUACAUACAUCUAUCAGGAUAUUGCUUGUAUUAAUGGGGCGAGUUUAAUUUGUGGUCCUUACAUGAUACAAGUGAACCGACAGUUGUGAUCUCUAGGCUACCCUCCGGAGGCUGUUGAGAAGAGAAGUUGUGCUCAAGCAGCAAGUGCAACAGACCCACAGAGCAGUAAAAUAAGCCAAGCAAAGGGGGAACCUGAAAGAGACUCAAAUUCAAUUCCUGAAAUUGAGGCCAGAAAUUAAGAAAAUUGGCAGCUUACCCAUAUAUUUGUGUGAAGAGAAGCAACAUCAAGUGCACCAUUUUGGUACACCACUAGAUGGACUCUGGAAUGUAUUCCAUCAAUAAGGGGGCCCAAGAAGAAGCCUGUAGCGAAGAGAGAGAGUGACACUAACGGCAAGAGAUGCCUCGGGGUUGUACUUUCACUCUUUGAAGUAGUGGCACUAUCUAUUUCGCCCUUCUUUAUGGCUUCUGGUCGCAUUAGCACUAACUUCUUCUUCGUCUUCUUCAAGAUGGAAAGGGGACAAGGACCGGGGAUGAGGAUGGGAAAGGGACUAGGUUUGGGUGUGUAGCAGGAAGUCGACCUGAGUAAACAACGAGGGGAGCCAAAAGUCAGAGAAAUCUGCGUUCUUUUUUCCAAAUACAGGAGCACUUCCUCAUCCGAAUACAAUAUCCAACUUGUAUUAUCUCAUUUGGGGGGCCAUGGAUAAAUAACACUCUGAUUUAUGAUCCACACACUCUGGAUAAUACUCCCUCCAUUUUAUUUUUACUUGUCCCUGUGACUUGACACAUCCCAAACUUUAAUUAGAAAUAUAUUUUACUAAC